UACGGGGGGGGCAAGCGUUGUUCGGAAUUACUGGGCGUAAAGGGCUCGUAGGCGGCCAACUAAGUCGGAUGUGAAAUCCCCAGGCUUAACCUGGGAACUGCAUCCGAUACUGGAUGGCUUGAAUCCGGGAGAGGGAUGCAGAAUUCCAGGUGUAGCGGUGAAAUGCGUAGAUAUCUGGAGGAAUACCGGUGGCGAAGGCGGCAUCCUGGACCGGCAUUGACGCUGAGUGAGCGAAAGCGUGGGGAGCGAACAGG
rnacentral:rRNA from 1 species